AAAUCACUCCAAACAACUGCCAAUGGUGUUUGCAUCUCUUCCUAUCCCAAGUUCCCACAAUCCCCAGCAGGGGUGUUGAUGGUGCCCACAGCCUUUCCUCUUCACCUUGGUAAUAUCAGAUGGCCCUAGGAGGUACAUACUGUUAUCCUCACUGUUUAGAUGAAGAUACUGGAGGCUUAGCAAGAUGAGCUAACAUCUGAGAAGCAUGCCUGCCAUGUAGUAUGUAUCCUACAGGUAUUUCUUAAGUGAAUAAAGCCACCCAGGUGGUAACUGGAGAUGCAAGAUUGUGCUCAGGCUGACUCCAAAGACAGACUUCUUAUCACAAUUUUUCUUCAAGGAUUUUAUUCUUGCAGAGAGCAUGGAGGCUACCGGAGUCACGUUUAGCAGUUUUGUUUUUGAGCAGGGAAUGUCUGUGCUCUCCCUUAAGUAAGCCCGGCUGCCAGAAUACACUGGUGGAGUUAUGUUACGAACCAGGAGUAGCCUGCUGCCUACUGGUUAUCUACAUGAAGGAAUGCUGUUUUGCUAUUUCCCUCCCACUGAUGCUGAAAUUGAAAUGGGGAAGGACUCCAAGUACAACAUGUCAUGCAAGGGGUUGAGGGUAUCCUCAUGGGAUCACACUGAGGACCUGCUGAGAACACGCUGAAAUCAUUAUUCUGACAGAUCAGGAAUACUUUCUCAUCCACAGCCAGCAGCCACGUAUGCUGUGCACACACUGUGGUCUGUCUGAGUUGGCUUCUUCCAGAAAGUAGGCUCACAGUGGGCGUCUGAGGGCUACUCCUGCCGGGAAAGCAGUCUCAUUUGUUCAUAUAACAUAAACUUAAAAAAAAAAAUCAGGAAACAAGGACUCCCAGCUGGAGAUGUGCCUUUGAAGACAUUCUUC
rnacentral:lncRNA from 10 species